AUGACAUGGGAAGGGGCUUCUCUGGCCAGAGUAGUUUGGGAGACGCAGAGUUGGGCAAGGUGGAGGCUUGGCUUGCAGCAGGACUUACCAGAGCCUUUAAUGGGCUCUGCGAGCUCUGACACUCCGGAGGGGGUGGGUGGCAGGAUUCCCAAACCAGUCCGUGUUUGGAAAGUCUCCUGGGAUCCAGGUCGGAGAGGCUCAGAGCUGCCCGCGCCAGGAAAUGCAGGGUCCGAGGGCUGGAGACCUUUCGCACUGACCCGAGGGCUCCGUCUCGCCAUCUGCUCCCUGGCGGCUCCGGGGCUCACCUGGCACCUGCAGGAGGGUCCCUGCCCCUGGGAAGUUCCCCCCAGGACCCCGGGUGCCCACCAGUAUCUGUAUCUUCCUACCAGUGAGGAUGCUGUUUACCCUCCCACUCACUCUGAAAACCUCAAAUGCUUACUUUCUAUUAAAAAGUCAGAUUUCACCCAGUUUCCUUACUGGUCGGACGGUGGGCGUCAGGAUCCCGCAGUGUCCCGAGCCGGGCUGGUGGAGUCCGUGGGGUGUAGACCACGGUGCAGGUGUAGACCUCGCUCCCGACCCUGCGGCCUGGGCCUCCUCAGCUGGGAUGGUGCAAGGUGUUACAGAUUCUCCCCCCGCGGCGGGGGCGCCUCCUGUCUUCCCGGGGCGUCUGUGAGGCUGCUGGGGCUCUGGACAGACAGACGCACAGACCCUGCCUGGCCAGGCGCGUCCUGGGAGGGAGCAGCAGGGCUGCCCAUUAUUUCCACACCCCAAAGUCCCCGUGGGUCCCUCUGGCCGCGUGCGUUCCGCGGUUGCUUGGGGCACGACGGCCACGCGCACCGGGAGCCGCUGGCCUCCUGUCUCCGGGCCAGGAAGGUGAUUUCCUGCAGCGUCCUGCUGUCGGGUGUCCGUGAGCCGGCGCUGGGGCUUGGAGGCCGCUGGCUGGCCGCAGCGAGGGCGGCGGUCCUGGGGCUGCCCCGCAGCCUCCCCAGCCAGGCCUCCGCCGGCACCGGGCACGGGCGCCAAGGGCAGGCGAUGCCAGGCACACGCCCCCCGCCCCUGCCCGCCCAGACUGGCUUCCAGAAUCCCCAGCAAAGAUGCGCUCACCCCCCCCCCCCGCCCACAACACGACAUCCUUCACGUUGUGGCAGGUGUGGGCAGAGCGGGCCUCGCAGGGAGGGGCAGUCAGCUGGCCCAAGCCACGAGCUGCCGUGGCCAGAGGUCAGGGCACCCCGGGCACCAGGGUGUCCAGGUCAGGACGCCCUAGGGUGCUCCUAG
rnacentral:lncRNA from 1 species